rnacentral:rRNA from 1 species
UACAGAGGUCUCAAGCGUUGUUCGGAUUCAUUGGGCGUAAAGGGUGCGUAGGCGGCGCGGUAAGUCGGGUGUGAAAUCUCGGAGCUUAACUCCGAAACUGCAUUCGAUACUGCCGUGCUUGAGGACUGGAGAGGAGACUGGAAUUUACGGUGUAGCGGUGAAAUGCGUAGAUAUCGUAAGGAAGACCAGUGGCGAAGGCGGGUCUCUGGACAGUUCCUGACGCUGAGGCACGAAGGCCAGGGGAGCGAUCCGG